GGAAGGUUAGGAUUGGUUGUUCUCAUCUUCUUGAUCUUGACUUCUUUUAAAAUUUAGAUUCUUCAAGGUUAGCUUUGUGAGUUUAUAGGAUUAGCUACAGAUCAAACAACCCAAUAAUUCAAAUCAUUACAAACCUAAAAAUUCUAUCAAUCACAUAAUUUCUCAAGUAAAUAUAAUUUAAAAAAAAAAAAGAAGAUAACUA
rnacentral:lncRNA from 1 species